rnacentral:rRNA from 1 species
GACGAACGCUGGCGGCGUGCUUAACACAUGCAAGUCGAACGAUGAAGGAGGAGCUUGCUCCUCUGGAUUAGUGGCGAACGGGUGAGUAACACGUGAGCAAUCUGCCCUUGACUCUGGGAUAAGCGCUGGAAACGGCGUCUAAUACCGGAUACGACCCUCGGAGGCAUCUCCUGUGGGUGGAAAGAACUUCGGUCAAGGAUGAGCUCGCGGCCUAUCAGCUUGUUGGUGAGGUAAUGGCUCACCAAGGCGACGACGGGUAGCCGGCCUGAGAGGGUGACCGGCCACACUGGGACUGAGACACGGCCCAGACUCCUACGGGAGGCAGCAGUGGGGAAUAUUGCACAAUGGGCGCAAGCCUGAUGCAGCGACGCCGCAUGAGGGACGACGGCCUUCGGGUUGUAAACCUCUUUUAGCAGGGAAGAAGCGAGAGUGACGGUACCUGCAGAAAAAGCACCGGCUAACUACGUGCCAGCCGCCGCAGUAAAAC